UUGUAUACCGCCUAAUAAAGGAUCCAUCUCCCCCUCACACAGGCUCCCGAAACUGGUAGAGCAUGGGUGAAAUUUCCUGCUGAGUUAGAAGCAGUGUUCUCAGCUCUCCUCCAGUGGUUGCCAGGCUACCUCUAGCCACAGCUUUUUUUUUCUCUGCCCUAAGAACCCCACCCUGAACUUAAUUUACAAACUGGCCAGCUUGGGCUAGCCCUUGGUCUGAGUCCUUUUAAGAUUGUACUUUCUACAAUCUCCAACUUCAUUAAGCUUCUCUGCACAUGGAUACCCAAGAGGCAGACCACAAAACGUGGGUUCUGAUCCUGGCUUGGACAAGUGGAGCCUGUGCGAGUUCCUGUAGGGAAAAGUCAAUUGUCUUUCUUCAGUGGCUAUAGAGACAUUGUCUCCUAGAAGUAUAAUGUCAGGCAACUGAAGACUAAGACUUUCAUGUUGGUAUCAGAUCCAUGGCUGAUCUGAAACUUCCCACUAAGAAGGGAAAGGAAAUUGGCAAGUACGAGGCCUUAAUGAUGAGGCGCUUUCCCCACUAUUCAUUAACACCAAGGCCUUGCAGAAGCACAAAUGCUGUCCUUGUGCUACAGAGUGGGUUGGACCAAGCAGAGUUGUUUCCCCAAGCCUACCUUGCACCUCUCAGUUCCUUAGCCUUUUAGUCACAUAUCCAAGGCUGCUGCUUGGUGGGAACAUCCUUAAAACUGCAGACGAAAACUACCACUUAAACACCACUGGAGCAGUACUGGCUCCUUCUCAGUUGACUCAGCAAAGAAAAGGUUCUGCCAGUUUCCCGCCUCUACUCCCUCAGCUAAAGCCAGAGGGAGGUGGUGAGCAACCCAUCUCCCUCCAUUCUCCUCAGCACUAUAUGCCUGAUGGCUCACUGCUCAGAAACCAAAAAAGCACCACCUCUCUACUCCCACAAGAGCCAGGCUUUCCAGGGUCUCGGAGGCAGCUGCUUUGGGUGAAUUCCAGGACCCAGAGCUUCUCUAUGCUCUUGACAAUACCGCUUCUCUGUUCUGCUCAUCGUGCGCAUGUAGAAGUAUGCCUGCAUUUCUGUAAUUAUGCAUAUGCUGCUUUUUCGGGGGUGGGGGGAGGGUUGUUUGUUUUCCUUUAUUCUCACAUCCUGUCAAGCAAGAUAUAUCUUCAUUCUCCAGUGGAGGAAACUGUGUCCGAAAGGUGAAUCCGUGACUUAAUCUCUGUCACACUGCUAAGCAAAGCAUUGAAAUGCAUAAGGGACACAUCUGAGAUCUGCUGACUGGGAAAUGCCUACACAUCCUCUCACAUCCUCACACAACCACACCACCUCAACCACCUCUACCUGAACCUACAGGAAAAUAGUCCUGGCCCUUGCUCCUUCUGACCAAACCUGCUCUGUGUUCAAUCCUGGCUGAUAUUUAAGGGAAAGCCUGCAAGCUUUCUGUGACAAUGUCUCACUCUGGGACUCCUGAAUAUUUUGUCAGCCAGUCAAAGCUCCAGAACAGGCCUUCCAGAACAACAAACAGCACACACAGGCCAUGAGGACAUGCAUCUUACAAAGGAAGAAGGGGAUAUUGAACAUCUGCUGCCCUAGGCCCUGGCUCCCUGCCGUGGCUCCAAGGAAUUGAGAAAUAUUCUUGACACUUCUUUGCCAGCUUUACUUAAUGUUCCCUCUCAUUUCUUUGUCUAUCUCUUCCUGUUUCUGCCUGGCCUUCUGUCCCCAGGUCAUUUUUGCCUUGGGGCUGUUCCUGGCCUGACUUUUCCACCUAAAUUCCAGGCCUGUUUCCUGUCAUGUGCAACGCCACUCAUCCUGAUGUGCAAACAGGACUAAAACUUGACAGCCUUGAAAUGAACUCAACCAUCCCCAGCCCUCUCUCCAUCAGGACUUCUUGUGUCUCCCGUAACUGACUUGUGCUCAUCCUAAAAACUCGCCAUUGUUUCUGGCUUCUCCCUACUGAGAGAGCAAGUAUUCAGGCAUUUGCUGAAUGGAUCUGGGAGUGAAUGAGUCCUAUCCUGAAUCACACUGCUUCAUCAGGAAGAUUCACAAGAAUCCAGCCUCAUUCUUUUCAUAUUCAAACAACUUUGCAUAAAAGAAAACUCAGAAUUUCUAUGCCUUAAAGGGGCAGUCAUUGCCAUAGCUAGCAGACUAAUGGAGCAUUUCUGAGGAGACUGCUUUCCCACCAAAUGAAGCUCACUGUACCUCCUCUUUGGAAGCGUAGUAAAUAAUGCAGCAGUGUGCCUUGAAGGAACUUUAUUGGCCUACUGACCAUAAUGUCAGCACAGCCUCACUUAUGUGGCCAGCCCCAAAUUUUGAGUAUUUGGAUUGCUUGUAAGAUUUUAGUGCUUUUUUAAUUUUAUUCAGUUAACCGAGCAAGUGCCCUGAUUUGCUUAAAUCCAGAUAAAGUCCCACUGAAAAUGGAAGGAUGGCAGGGCACUACAGGGUAGGAGUGAAAGGGACAUUUUCCAUUGAAUGCCCUCUUGACUUCUGAGUCCCGUAAGCGCACUGGCUACUCAAAGCAUGCAUGCUAAAAACUUAUUGUCUACUAGAACCUGGCUCUCCCAAAAGUAUAUAGACUGUGCCUUGGGGACUCAGAGAGCUCAGUGGCUCAGGAGUAACAUUUUCACUGAACCUGGAAAGAUGGAUUUGAGCCAGGCUGGUCCAAGACUGCCGUGGACAAAGAGAGGCCUAACUUAGGGCCGAUUUAGGGUAUAUGUGGUAUGGUCUUUUCAAAAUUGAAGGAAAAUGAACCCUUAAAAAACAAAAAUGACAGGUUCUCCUUAUGUCAUCCAGGAUGGUCUAGACCUCGCAGUGAUCCUCCUGCCUCAGCUUUCUGACUGCUGAGAUUGCAGGCAUUAAUCACUGAGCAUGGCUGGCAAUGAGACCAGAGAACAAAAAUGAGUGGAAAAGGGGGACCAGACCCAGGCUCUCCAAGGCAAAGGCAUCUUUGAAGGUUUGAAAUAGGCCAUCGAUGUGUCUCUCUUCCUUUGUUUUGUUUGUCGCCUCUUAAUUUCCUUUGCAGCAGGAGCUCAUUAGCUAGGCCACGCUAGCCUGGCAUUCAUUGUCUGUACCUGUAAAGAGCAGUCUGUGCUGCCACUAUUGCUGUUGCUGUUUGUUUGCUCUUAGGUUUUCAUUUUGUAAAAAUAGCCAUUGGUAGCAAUCCCUCUAAAGGUCGUGUGAAGACCUGUAAGCAGCAAGCUCCUGAAGCACAGAAAACAAUGAUAAGCUGGAAAGACUCAUUGUUCCCUUUUGCCCCAGGUCAUAGCAGAUUAGUCCAGGAAGCUCUUGAUCCUGGAUAACCACUCGGUACCAUACAAUAGGAAUGCUUAUUCACCCUUGCCUAAACCAGGCACAGGGAGCUAGUGUGCUGGCCUGUUCUAAUAAGUGACCCAGGGACACAUGGUAAAAGCCCCAUCUGGGGUGCCCUGGACCCUCUCAGAUCCCUUGUCCAACCAGCACGCCUACGCCCCCUUUACUACAGUCUAGAUCCAGUGGCCUCAGACACAAAGAGACACAAAGAGGUCGAGGGGCAGUUCCCUGUAACCACCUUCCAGGCUUCUCUCCUGCCCCCUAAGCCUAGCGUAGCCGCAGAGUGCUGUAUUUUUGUACUAUGGUGUCUUCACAUCCUAAGAGCUCAUGUUCUUCACCCCAAAGCCUAGUAGAUCCCACUGUUCCCCCACAGCUGAAGUCCAGCGCCAUGGAACAGCUCUGGGUGCCAGACACCAUGUGAGGGGCUUUCCAAACCUCACAGCAAAAGAAGAGUAGGAUUUUUUUUCUAUUUAGUUGUUUGGGUUUUUUUUUCCUUUGGUUUUGUUUUUUGAGACAAGAUCUUAGGUAUCCCAUACUGGCCUCAAAAUCACUCUGUAGUCAAGGAUAAUCUUGACCUUGCGAUUCUCCUGCCUUUACCUCCCAAGUUUUGGCGAUAUAUGCAUGUGUCAACACACCCAGCUCUGUCUGCUUAAUAUCUUCUACACAAUGAGAAGACUAAGACUUUGGAAGUGUAGCCAUAAUCGCUUGAUCCAGCAUAUUUUAACUUUUUCUUUUAUUUUUGAGAUUAUAACAUUUCUC
rnacentral:lncRNA from 1 species